GGAUGAAGUGCUUCGGUAUGUAAACUGCUUUUGUAGACUAGAAAGUAAUUGAUCAGUCUAAGAAUAAGGAGUUGCUAAACUCGUGCCAGCAGCAGCGGUAAUACGAGUGCUCCAAGCGUUAUCCGGAAUUAUUGGGCGUAAAGGGUGUGUAGGCGGUAGUGUUAGUCUUUUGUUAAAUUCUUCGGCUUAACCGGGGGCAUGCGAAAGAAACGGCACAACUAGAGGAUGCGAGAGGUGAAUGGAACUCAUGGAGUAGGGGUGAAAUCCGUUGAUAUCAUGGGGAACACCAAAUGCGAAGGCAGUUCACUGGCGCACUCCUGACGCUGAAACACGAAAGCGUAGGUAGCGAAUGGGAUUAGAUACCCCCGUAGUCC
rnacentral:rRNA from 1 species